rnacentral:lncRNA from 1 species
UCUGCAGGGUCAGACGUCAAAGAAUCUACUGCGCCAGCCGCUCCAAUGUCGAUACUCUUCACAUUCUCUUCUUCCGUGGACAAUGCUACGCUGAUAUCAUUUUCGGAAUUUGCUACUUCUUUUCUCGGUUCAUCUCCACUAUCAGAAGUUGCUGUGGUGUUUCCUGGCUGAAGCGUGUCAACUGAAACAUCACUGUUAGCUGCUGCAUUUACAGAAGUCGGUGGAGGAUCAACAACCUCCUCACCAAUAUCCACAUGAGAUGAAGCUCCUCCUACAGCCACAUCAGACGGAGCUUCUGCCUCCUCACCAACAUCCACAUGAGUAACUCUCUUCUCGGUAUCUGCAGGGUCAGACGUCAAAGAAUCUACUGCGCCAGCCGCUCCAAUGUCGAUACUCUUCACAUUCCCUUCUUCCGUGGACAAUGCUACGCUGAUAUCAUUUUCGGAAUUCGCUACUUCUUUUCUCGGUUCAUCUCCACUAUCAGAAGUUGCUGUGGUGUUUCCUGGCUGAAGCGUGUCAACUGAAACAUCACUGUUAGCUGCUGCAUUUACAGAAGUCGGUGGAGGAUCAACAGCCUCCUCACCAAUAUCCACAUGAGAUGAAGCUCCUCCUACAGCCACAUCAGACCGAGCUUCUGCCUCAUCACUGACACCACUAGUGUCAGAGGUUGCUGUGGUGUUUCCUGGCUGAAGCGUGUCAACUGAAACAUCACUGUUAGCUGCUGCAUUUACAGAAGUCGGUGGAGGAUCAACAGCCUCCUCACCAAUAUCCACAUGAGAUGAAGCUCCUCCUACAGCCACAUCAGACCGAGCUUCUGCCUCAUCACUGACACCACUAGUGUCAGAGGUUGCUGUGGUGUUUCCUGGCUGAAGCGUGUCAACUGAAACAUCACUGUUAGCUGCUGCAUUUACAGAAGUCGGUGGAGGAUCAACAACCUCCUCACCAAUAUCCACAUGAGAUGAAGCUCCUCCUACAGCCACAUCAGACGG